GAGUGUAUGGCUCAGGCGUGGAGUGCGUGCUUAACAUGCAUGAGGUCCUAGGUUCAAUCCCCAGUACCUCCA
rnacentral:tRNA from 1 species